CCUACGGGAGGCAGCAGUGAGGAAUAUUGGUCAAUGGACGAAAGCCUGAACCAGCCAAGCCGCGUGCAGGAAGACGGCUCUAUGGUUUGUAAACUUCUUUUAUACGAGGGUAAACCUGAAUACGUGUAUUUAUCUGUAUGUACCAUACGAAUAAGCAUCGGCUAACUCCGUGCCAGCAGCCGCGGUAAUACGGAGGAUGCAAGCGUUAUCCGGAUUUAUUGGGUUUAAAGGGUGCGUAGGCGGAUUAUUAAGUUAGAGGUGAAAGGUUAGAGCUUAACUAGGAAAUUGCCUUUGAAACUGGUGAACUAGAGUGUAGUUGAGGUAGGCGGAAUGUAUGGUGUAGCGGUGAAAUGCUUAGAGAUCAUACAGAACACCGAUUGCGAAGGCAGCUUACUAAUCUAUAUCUGACGUUGAGGCACGAAAGCGUGGGGAGCAAACAGGAUUAGAUACCCGAGUAGUC
rnacentral:rRNA from 1 species